UACGUAGGGGGCAAGCGUUGUCCGGAUUUACUGGGUGUAAAGGGUGCUCAGGUGGAUUUGUUAGUCGGAGGUGAAACUCCGGAGCUUAACUCCGGAACUGCCUCCGAAACAGCAAGUCUUGAGUUUGGUAGAGGAUGAUGGAAUAUCUGGUGUAGCAGUGAAAUGCGUAGAUAUCAGAUAGAACACCAAUGGCGAAGGCAGUCAUCUGGGCCAUAACUGACACUAAAGCACGAAAGCGUGGGGAUCAAACAGGAUUAGAUACCCCUUGUAGUCC
rnacentral:rRNA from 1 species